UCAGUCAGUCAGUCAGGCAGGUACACCAGUCCGUCAGGCAGUCAGUCAGGCAGGUACACCAGUCAGUCAGGCAGGUACACCAGUCAGUCAGUCAGGCAGGUACACCAGUCAGUCAGGCAGGUACACCAGUUAGUCAGUCAGGCAGGUACACCAGUCAGUCAGGCAGGUACACCAGUCAGUCAGGCAGGCCGGUACACCAGUCAGUCAGUUGAGGAGAAACAGGAAUAAACACCUAUCCAAGUAAUGCUGGUUCAUGGUCCAAGUGUGGGGAUGUUUCAUUUGUUUAAGAUGGCUGCUCAAUAAAAAGUAGGUUUAAAUUAUUUUAGCACACGAAAGACAAACACUAAAAUCAGGCAAAUUAAAAGGUUACCAGUAGAUACACAAAUAAAAGGGACAUAUAGUCAAAUCUAGUUUACAAAAGCUAUGUUUGCUGUCCUUUUGAAAUGGUAGAAACCUGAGAAAAAGUUCCAAUCACAAGAACCCGGACUAACACCCUCCCAGCGGUGAAAAGUACUUAUGUAAAAAUACUUUAAAGUACUGCUUAAGCAGGUUUUUUUUUUAGUAUCUUUACUUUACUAUUUAGAUUUUGGGCAACUUUUAAUUUUACUUCAAUACAUUCCUAAAGAAAGUAAUGUACUUUUUACACCAUACAUUUUCUAUGACACCCAAAAGUACUCGUUAUAUUUGGAAUGCUUAGCAGGACAGGAAAUGGUCUAAUUCACACACAGUAUAAAGAGAACAUACCUGGUCA
ensembl:lncRNA